UACGUAGGGGGCAAGCGUUGUCCGGAAUCAUUGGGCGUAAAGAGCGUGUAGGCGGCCAGAAAAGUCCGCUGUGAAAACUCGAGGCUCAACUUCGAGCUGUCGGUGGAAACUUUCUGGCUAGAGUCCGGAAGAGGAGAAUGGAAUUCCUGGUGUAGCGGUGAAAGUGCGCAGAUAUCGAGAGGAACACCUGCGGCGAAGGCGGGUUGCUGGGCUGACACUGACGCUGAACUGCGAAAGCUAGGGGAGCGAACGGG
rnacentral:rRNA from 1 species